rnacentral:rRNA from 1 species
AGUGAUUGGGGUGAAGUCGUAACAAGGUAGCCGUAGGAGAACCUGCGGCUGGAUCACCUCCUUUCUAAGGAGA